rnacentral:rRNA from 1 species
UACAGAGGGUGCGAGCGUUAAUCGGAAUGACUGGGCGUAAAGGGCGCGUAGGUGGUUUGUUAAGAUCGAUGUGAAAUCCCUGGGCUUAACCUAGGAAGGCCAUUGAAGACUGGCAAGCUGGAGUACUGUAGAGGGUAGUGGAAUUUCCGGUGUAGCGGUGAAAUGCGUAGAGAUCGGAAGGAACACCAGUGGCGAAGGCGGCUACCUGGACAGAUACUGACACUGAGGCGCGAGAGCGUGGGGAGCAAACAGG